AUGCAAAAAACCAAAAUGGCUGUCUGGGGAGGCCUUACAAAUAGCUGUGAAAGAAGAGAGGAGAAAAGCAAAGGAGAAAAGAAAAGAUAUAAGCAUCUGAAUGCAGAGUUCCAGAGAAUAGCAAGAAGAGAUAAGAAAGCCUUCCUCAGCAAUCAAUGCAAAGAAAUAGAGGAAAAGAACAGAAUGGGAAAGACUAGAGAUCUCUUCAAGAAAAUUAGAGAUACCAAGGGAACAUUUCAUGCAAAGAUGAGCUCGAUAAAGGAUAGAAAUGGUAUGGACCUAACAGAAGCAGAAGAUAUUAAGAAGAGGUGGCAAGAAUACACAGAAGAAAUGUACAAAAAAUAUCUUCAUGACCCAGAUAAUCAUGAUGAUGUGAUCACUCAUCUAAAGCCAGACAUCCUGGAAUGUGAAGUCAAGUGGGCCUUAGAAAGCAUCACUACGAACAAAGCUAGUGGAGGUGAUGGAAUUCCAGUUGAGCUGUUUCAAAUCCUGAAAGAUGAUGCUGUGAAAGUGCUGCACUCAAUAUGCCAGCAAAUUUGGAAAACUCAGCAGUGGCCACAGGACUGGAAAAGGUCAGUUUUCAUUCCAAUCCCAAAGAAAGGCAAUGCCAAAGAAUGCUCAAACUAUCGCACAAUUGCACUCAUCUCACAUGCUAGUAAAGUAAUGCUCAAAAUUCUCCAAGCCAGGCUUCAGCAAUACGUGAACCAUGAACUUCCUGAUGUUCAAGCUGGUUUUAGAAAAGGCAGAGGAACCAGAGAUCAAAUUGCCAACAUCUGCUGGAUCAUCAAAAAAGCAAGAGAGUUCCAGAAAAACAUCUAUUUCUGCUUUACUGACUAUGCCAAAGCCUUUGACUGUGUGGAUCACAAUAAACUGUGGAAAAUUCUGAAAGAGAUGGGAAUACCAGACCACCUGACCUGCCUCUUGAGAAAUGUGUAUGCAGGUCAGGAAGCAACAGUUAGAACUGGACAUGGAACAACAGAUUGGUUCCAAAUAGGAAAAGGAGUACAUCAAGGCUGUAUAUUGUCACCCUGCUUAUUUAACUUCUAUGCAGAGUACAUCAUGAGAAACGCUGGGCUGGAAGAAACACAAGCUGGCAUCAAGAUUGCUGGGAGAAAUAUCAAUAAUCUCAGAUAUGCAGAUGACACCACCCUUAUGGCAGAAAGUGAAGAGGAGCUAAAAAGCCUCUUGAUGAAAGUGAAAGAGGAGAGUGAAAAAGUUGGCUUAAAGCUCAACAUUCAGAAAACGAAGAUCAUGGCAUCUGGUCCCAUCACUUCAUGGGAAAUAGAUGGGGAAACAGUGGAAACAGUGUCAGACUUUAUUUUUUUGGGCUCCCAAAUCACUGCAGAUGGUGAUAGCAGCCAUGAAAUUAAAAGAAGCUUACUCCUUGGAAGGAAAGUUAUGACCAACCUAGAUAGCAUAUUCAAAAGCAGAGACAUUACUUUGCUGACUAAGGUCCAUCUAGUCAAGGCUAUGGUUUUUCCUGUGGUUAUGUAUGGAUGUGAGAGUUGGACUAUGAAGAAGGCAGAGUACCGAAGAAUUGAUGCUUUUGAAGUGUGGUGUUGGUGA
rnacentral:lncRNA from 1 species